rnacentral:rRNA from 1 species
UUUUUGCAUAUUCCCAAUGCGGAGGAAAAGAAACCAACAGGGAUUGCCCUAGUAACGGCGAGUGAAGCGGCAACAGCUCAAAUUUGAAAUCUGGCUUCGGCCCGAGUUGUAAUUUGUAGAGGAUGCUUUUGGUGCGGUGCCUUCUGAGUUCCCUGGAACGGGACGCCUUAGAGGGUGAGAGCCCCGUAAAGUUGGACACCAAGCCUAUGUAAAGCUCCUUCGACGAGUCGAGUAGUUUGGGAAUGCUGCUCAAAAUGGGAGGUAAAUUUCUUCUAAAGCUAAAUACCGGCCAGAGACCGAUAGCGCACAAGUAGAGUGAUCGAAAGAUGAAAAGCACUUUGAAAAGAGGGUUAAAAAGUACGUGAAAUUGUUGAAAGGGAAGCGCUUAUGACCAGACUUGUGCCCUGCGGAUCAUCCAGCCUUCUGGCUGGUGCACUUCGCUUGGUUCAGGCCAGCAUCGGUUCUUUGAGGGGGAUAAAAGCUUCAGGAACGUAGCUCCUCCGGGAGCAUUAUAGCCUGUUGCAUAAUACCCUUCGAGGGACCGAGGUUCGCGCAUCUGCAAGGAUGCUGGCGUAAUGGUCAUCAGCGACCCGUCUGAAAAAACACGGAA